rnacentral:lncRNA from 1 species
UCUAGACCUUUACCAAAACAUUUUUAUUAAAACUCAUGACUCACUCAUUAUCAUUUUUCAGAAUAAAAGAUUGAAAUUUGGUUUUUGUUAAUUUCGUGGCAGGGGUUACUGUCGUGGAGUUCUUAUUUCAACACCCUUGCUAGUCGGGUCUCAACUGAUCGUGUCCUUCUGCAGCAACUUAACAGUGUAUUUACGUUUUUUUAUAAAUUUCUUAAUUACAGUGUUGUUAUGCUUCAUAAUUACUGUUUUGUGCGAAUUUUUGUCAUGCAUACUAAUUACGUAAUUACAGACAUAUAAGCAAAGUUCAAAUUGAACUGUUCAAUAUCGGUAGAGACUUAUAAAUAAACAAGAUAAAUGUGGCGACAUACAGUUAGCGUGGAAUGAGACAAUAAUAAUGCCUCACAUUGCUUAUCAAACGACCUUUGCAUUUAAAUACUUCAUCAAAAGUAAAAAACCAUAAAUAUAACAAAAAAGGAGAGUUCAGAUAAAAGAUGCCGCAAAGCUCAAUUAUGCAUGUUGACUCCACAAUCGCUAGGAUUCUGCUUUUCUCAGGCAUGGCAGAAAACUAGAAUCCGAUGAUUUUGAGGAACAGGAAAAACCUUAAAGGGCGAAAAACUUACAAUCUAAUGACAUAAUAGCGCGUAUAAUCACUUCAGGCCUUUCGAAAAUGCCUCCUUUACAACCCGAAGAAGAAGAAGACCACUGGUCCGCAAUUUCCAGCAAGGGAUGGAACCACGGCACAUAGAGGUAGGUUCUCAAAAGAGACAACGGAGCAUUUUUCCGAGAAAAUGUUACUCGGAUGAUAUCGACUAUCCUCCAGGCUCUGUAGAUUACCAGACCUACCUCUAGGGACACCUCAACAUCAACAGUUGAAGUCCCACAAGAAAGCAUCCGACGCGAAAUCGUCAGCCUCAACCCAGAUCAUGAGGUCAUGAUUGCAAGAAUGUCUGGCGCUGGACGCCAUUUAAGCAGGAUUAUUUAUGAUCAUCGUCAUCAUCAUCAUAAGGGAAUUAGUUCUAGUCGUAAGAUUGGUUGGAUCUUCGCAUUUCCUUAAAACUAGAACAUCCCAUAUCCUUAACUAUUUGUGAACAGUAAUCUAAUCUAGGUCUACCUCUAAUCCUCUUAAUUCCUGUUCCUGCUUCCAGUAUGUCUCUAACUUACCCUUCAUGCCUGAAAAGGUUUCUUAUCAACCUAUCUCGCCUAUUUCUUAUUGACUUCCAUAGCCCUCUGCUCUUCUAUUCUUUCUAAUACCUCUUCAUUUCUAACAUUCUCUAUCUAUGUUAUCAUCAUUCGACUGUAACACCGCAUAAUAUAUGUUUAAAUAAAUAAUUUUAAGUUCGCAUUUACUCGAGUGUUUAUUAUUACGUAGUUGAAGUGUAAAAUCGGACAUCCUGAAUUUGUAGGUGAUGAUGGUGACUGACGUUCUUUCUUCUUUUUCAAAUAACCCCUUCCCGUUUCAGGAAUCCGCGAUUUGGAGUUCGUUUGGUUUAGAAUCGUAACCGAGUCAUCAUUUCGGGCAAGUUUAUGCAAUGUUUAAACAGUCGUGUAAUCAGUCGCCGCGUGCAUACAUUUACAUGACACGUAACAGUAGAUGAAAAGGGGUUGCCAUAGCGCCCCCGCGGCGUCGAUCCGACGCUGCUGUCGGCCGCACAGACUGCGGGUAUCUCACCCUCUCAUUGUGCCGCAAUUAUGUAAAGUGAUGGAUUUAAUCGAGGAGGACCUAAAGCAAGCUAGCUAUACCUACGAAAAUUUAAGUGUUUCAGAAGAACACGAUUCUUUAUUUUAAUAUGGAUGUGAUUAUCACGAUACGUAUUAUACCUGCGUCUGUUGGUACGUAUUUACCGGGAAAUAGUUUUUUAUUGAUUCGCUGAUACUUAUUUUACUUGAAAUCUCCUCCUGGUGUUCUCUUGCGUUGGUAGGUUAGAUGAGAAGCGUUAGAUAUGGUGCUUCCAACACGACAUCAUCGACUUGGAACUUAAUAAGAAAAAUGCGAGAUAGGUUGGCAGGGCAUAUUCUUAAGCAUGAAGGGCUAGUUAG